rnacentral:lncRNA from 1 species
CUAUGUAAUUUCUUUUCGGGUAAACUUUAAUUACCCCUGUGUGAUUUCACACAUUCUCACUUUAGUACCCUACGAUUUAAAAUGUAUCAAGUUAACCUAUGUGGUUUCGCACUUUCUCACUUUAGUAGUCUGUGGUUUAAAAUGUAUCAAGUUAGUACCUUGUGGUUUCAUUUUUCUCUUCUUAUUAUCUAUAUAUUUUACUAAUUUUUUUUUGUUAAAUCAGUGACAAAGUUAAAAUUAAAUGGUACUAAAGUGAAUAUUUGAUAACCUAAGUAGAGUAUGUGAAGUUUUUUGUAUAUAUAUAGUUUAACGAAAUAUUAACGGAGGAAAAAAAAAUCAGUGAUAAAGUUAAAACUAAAGGUUACUAAAAUAAAUAUUCGAUAACCAAGGUAGGGUAUCUAAAAUUUUUUGUAUAUAAUUUAACGAAAUAUUAACAGAGGAUUGGACGAAAAAAGAAAACUGAAGAACAAAUAUAUAACAUAUUGAAAUGUACGUGAGAGAGAGACGGAUUU